rnacentral:ncRNA from 1 species
UUCUGAUUUGACUGACUGACUGACUGGUGGUGAUAAUAUCUUCCAUACAUAUUUCUGGUAUUUGCAUUGAGCCAUUUCUGUUGCAUGUGUUGUGUUGGGUGUUGACUCAAUGAACCAGGCAGGAUUCAGUAAUCAACCGCUAGACAAACUACAGCAAAAUCAUUUUCCAAGAAUGUUUUCAUUGAUCAGGAGCGAAAGUCAGAGUUUCGAAGGCGGUCAGACACCGUCGUGGUUCUCGCCAUAAACGAUGACUUCUGACAAUCUGCAAUUGUUUUAUAAUUGACACUGCGGGCAGUUCCCGGGAAACCUUCAAGUCUUUGGGCUCUGGGGUGAAGUAUGGUUGUAAAGCUGAAACUUAAACGAAUUGACGGGAGGGCAACACCAAGAGUGGAGUCUGCGGUUUAUUUCCACUCAGCACGGGAAAACUCACCCGGCCCGAAUACUGUGAGGAUUAACAGAUUGAAAGCUCUUUCUUGAUUCGGUGGCUGGUGGUGCAUUGCCAUUCUUAGUUGGUGGAGCAAUUAGUAUGGUCAAUUCCGAUAACGAACGCGACUUUAACCCACUGAAUAGUAGAUUGGUCCUCUGUGCUCGUUCAGGGCGCGGCUUCUCUUGCUUGUUUAUGGAUUGAUGUGGUCUUAGAGGGAUAGAAGGCACAAUGAAAUCGUACUAAAUUGAACAAUAACAUGUAUGUGAUGCCCUUAGAUGUCCGGGACCACACGUGCGCUACAGUGACGGUGCCAGCGAGUUGGAGAACGUGGCCCGAAAGAGCUGGGCAAGCGGUUUCAUCAGCAUCGUGACUGGUAUUGGAGACUGCAAUUAUUCCCCGUGAACGACGAAUUCCUGGUAAGUGCAAGUCAUAAGCUUGCGCUGAUUGUGUCCCUUUGGUUGAUUACGGAAUCCCGGCUGGUCCAUUG